rnacentral:rRNA from 1 species
AUUGAACGCUGGCGGCAGGCCUAACACAUGCAAGUCGAGCGGGGUUUUCGGACCUAGCGGCGGACGGGUGAGUAAUGCGUAGGAAGCUGCCCGAUAGAGGGGGAUACCAGUUGGAAACGACUGUUAAUACCGCAUAAUGUCUACGGACCAAAGUGUGGGACCUUCGGGCCACAUGCUAUCGGAUGCGCCUACGUGGGAUUAGCUAGCUGGUGAGGUAAUGGCUCACCAAGGCGACGAUCUCUAGCUGGUUUGAGAGGAUGAUCAGCCACACUGGAACUGAGACACGGUCCAGACUCCUACGGGAGGCAGCAGUGGGGAAUAUUGGACAAUGGGCGCAAGCCUGAUCCAGCCAAGCCGCGUGUGUGAAGAAGGCCUUCGGGUUGUAAAGCACUUUAAGUGGGGAGAAAGGUUCGGCAGCUAAUACCUGCCGGAAGUGAUGUUACCCACAGAAUAAGCACCGGCUAACUCUGUGCCAGCCGCCGCCGUAAGAC